UACAGAGUGCUCAAGCGUUUGUUCGGAUUCAUUGGGCGUAAAGGGUGUGUAGGUGGCGCGCUAAGUCGGGUGUGAAAAUUUCGGAGCUUAACUCCGAAACUGCAUUCGUAUAACUGGCGUGCUUGAGGACUGGAGAGGAGACUGGAAUUCAUGGUGUAGCAGUGAAAUGCGUAGAGAUCAUGAGGAAGACCAGUGGCGAAGGCACUCUACUGGGCCAUUACUGACACUGAGAAGACGAAAGCUAGGGGAGCAAAUGGG
rnacentral:rRNA from 1 species